AGCCUGCUUCUCCCUCUACCCCUCCCCCUGCUCAUAAUCUCUUUCUCUCUCUCAAAUAAAUAAAUAAAAUCUUUUAAAAAAUGAAAUAAAAUAUCUUGCUCAAAACAUUCUUUGCGUUUGCCUCCUUUGAGCAUUUGGAGGACAUACUGGCCUAUAAAAGUCACUGUGGGGGCUCUGAUCAAGCCUUGCCAGGGUUUGGUCCCCCCGUGAGCAUUCCUAGAUCUGGGGCACUUCCAUGCCCUUAGCUCCAAGUGGGUACCCUGCAGGGAAGGUCUAUAAGAAACGGGCUGAAACAUGGCAAGCUCGUUCACUUCCACAGAUGGAAACCGGGGGUCUCUUUUAGACAGAGCUCCUUGGUGGCCAAAAGAGAAUUAGGGAACCCCUCUGUCCCUGCGGAUUGCAGGGCUGCAUCUAAGGUUACACCAAGACCAUGUCUACGACGAGGACGCAGGCAUGCAGUGCCAACCUCCAAAGGGAUGGAUAGCUAACCCUGCGGCAGGUUUCAGCACAGUGCUCCAGCGUUUACCAAGAACCUCGACCAGUUUGCCCUUCAAGCAGCUCGGAGACCAGAGUCCCUCAGAGGGGCGCUCUUUCCAGCAAGCAUCUCUCUGGGGUCUUCCCAAACCGCCCCCCCCUUUGCUCCUCACCCUUUAUCUUCACCCCCAGAACGUUUAGCUGCUGAAAGACUUAUAUACUUGAAGGAUUAAUAAAUUUGAAGCCUUCACAAUUUAAAACUUCUGAAUAUCAAAAAGAUUUCAGGGCUAAUGCAAAUGAAAACUUCUUUGCUACUUUGUUCAUUCAUUCAUUCAUGCAUGCGUGCACUGAGCUCCCUUCCCUCCAUCCUGGAAUCAGUGAGGACCAGGACCUCUGUGAUUCCUAGAUCUACUCCUGGGGAAUGUUCUGCAUAAGUGGUCCCAUUUUCCAGAUGGAGGUGAGACUGGAGGCAGGUCUUGUUCCCAGGGCCCUCACCCACGUCAGGGGCCGGGCUAGGCCCCGAGGGUCUACGGGCCAGCCCCUUUACCCUCCCAGCUGCUUCCUCCGUGGUGAGCGGCACUUCCUCCUGACUCUCAGCCUCUCUGGUUAUUAAUAGCUUCAGAGCACAGAUGCUGGUUAAGUUACAGACCCGCGAGCAUGAUGGGUAACUGACCAGAUAAGCCCUGAAGUCCCCAUCAACACCAUCCCUACCACCUUGAUGGGGGUCUUCUUACAAGCGGCCAGAGCAGCCCCUGCUGGUGUCAGGAGAAGCCCCAGUGGAGAUGGAAGGGCAGAACUGAAUCGGGGAGGUUUCAGCGCACAUCCAGAGUGAGAAGAUGCACGUUGAACCCUGUACCCUACAUUACUUGUGCCUGGAAUUUAGGUGAGGGCUGCACGACCCUGGGACUGUGUGUGUCACAUUCGUGUCAUGACCCCAGGACAUAACCCAAGGCCAGAUACACAGUAGUCCCACUCUACAGAUGAAGAAACCGAGGCACACCAGGGAAAAACUGACAAGAAAGAGACUAGAGGCUGCCGCAUCUGACUUGACCCUUAUCUUCACCCCGUGUAAACAACAGCAGAGGCCUGUGGUUCUGUGGGUUUGAGGAAAGGCCUGGAGUCCCACUGGAGACAGACGGUGUGUAUUCAGAAGGACUUGGUGUAUCUGGGCAUUUGGGGAUACAGGCACAUCUACCUUACAUAUGCAUAUAUGUAAUACGCGCUCCGUCCAUCUGCCAACUUCAAACAGUUCCCCUCUCUCCUCGGCCCCACGCGAUCCUGACAGCCAGCUGCAAGUGGGGACUCGGCCCCCAGGGUCCUUGACCCUACUCCUUGCAGUGCUCAAUACCUUCUGUCAAAACUUCUCUCUCUGAUCUGUCGUUCCCCCAGGCUGCAGAGGGGUCCCAGAAAAUCUAUGGAAACUCUUCCAGCUUGAGGGCUCGUGGCUGUGAACAAUUAAAAUGUUCUCUCCCCUUCCUGGGUCUUACUGCUUUAAAAUCCCCAUCAUGGGGCGCCUGGGUGGCUUGGUUGAGCAUCUGCCUUCGGCUCAGGUCAUGAUCCCAGGGUCCUGGGAUGGAGCCCCGCAUCGGGCUCCCUGCUCAG